CUCCUUGUCCUUCUUCCCUGUAUGUAUCAGACUUUGGUGAGAUACUGGGGGAAAUCGAUUUCUUUGGAGUUACAACUUCUUUCCUGUUCUUCUUCUUCUUGACACUUUUUCUUUUACCAAGAAUUGUUCAAUGCAAGAAUUCAAUGAGUCCCAGAGGACGAAUUCAAUUGGAAAUCGAAAGAUCAAGAUUCAGGCUCCGGUGCCUCUAGAACUUCUGGGAAAAAUGAAGAAGAUGGCACUUUCAUUGUAUCCCCAGAGCUGAUAACAAUGAUACUAAUACUGGCUACUAGAAUCCAUUGUUGGGGAAUGGCACGCUGC